AACGAACGCUGGCGGCAGGCCUAACACAUGCAAGUCGAACGAGAAGCCGUCCUUCGGGGCGGUGGAAAGUGGCGAACGGGUGAGUAACACGUGGGCAACCUACCUUGUAGAUUGGGAUAACUCCGGGAAACCGGGGCCAAUACCGAAUAAUCCAUUUUGCUUCAUGGCGAGAUGUUGAAAGACGGUUUCGGCUGUCACUACAAGAUGGGCCCGCGGCGCAUUAGCUAGUUGGUAAGGUAAUGGCUUACCAAGGCAACGAUGCGUAGCCGACCUGAGAGGGUGAUCGGCCACACUGGAACUGAGACACGGUCCAGACUCCUACGGGAGGCAGCAGUAGGGAAUCAUCCGCAAUGGGCGAAAGCCUGACGGUGCAACGCCGCGUGAACGAUGAAGGUUUUCGGAUCGUAAAGUUCUGUUAUGAGGAAAGAACAAGUGCCGUUCGAAUAGGGCGGUACCUUGACGGUACCUCACGAGAAAGCCCCGGCUAACUACGUG
rnacentral:rRNA from 1 species